AUGAGAACGAUCUGGAGCUUGUGUCUGCUUUGUGUGGCUGGAGGUUUAAGAACAAUCCAUGCAGGCCCCAUCAGGAAGAGCAGCAGGACAGAAGACGGCGCCGCACCACAGGAAGAGGUCAACGUGCUCAUGUUUGGUGUCAUUCAGCUGAGCGAAUCGCUUAGCUAUGUGUUUGAAACCACUGAGGCCAAGAUCGAGAGAAUCAGCCGAACUCUGAGGAGCCAUGAAGACACGCUACAAAAGCUGGGAAGGCAGACAGAGCAGGCUGCAGCGUCGGAGCAGCAGAUAAAAGAAGCUGUGAAGGCAUUACAGGCCCAGAUGGCAAAGCAACAGGCUCAGACUCAGCUCACUAAAGAUCGACUGAGCAGCAUGGAGCAGGAGGAGGAGCAGCUGAAGACCAAAGUGAAAAGACUGGAGAUGCUCAUGGACGACCCGGUGCACGGCAGCAUCAGGGAGCUGAAAGCUCAAGCAGAGGAGCACUCCAGCAUCUUGCAGGGUUUACAGCUCUUGAUCCAGUUUCAAAAGGAGAACAUUGAGACUCAGAAUAAGCAGCUUUCCAAAAUGCAGGAGAUGAGCCGGGGGACACCAUAA
rnacentral:lncRNA from 1 species